UACAGAGGUCCCGAGCGUUGUUCGGAUUCAUUGGGCGUAAAGGGUGCGUAGGCGGUCUUCUAAGUUUGAUGUGAAAUCCCGGGGCUCAACCCUGGAAUUGCAUUGAAUACUGGAGGACUAGAGUACCGGAGAGGAAACUGGAAUUUACGGUGUAGCAGUGAAAUGCGUAGAGAUCGUAAGGAAGACCAGUGGCGAAGGCGAGUUUCUGGACGGUAACUGACGCUGAGACGCGAAAGCGUGGGGAGCAAACAGG
rnacentral:rRNA from 1 species